AUGACUAGCACCGACUUCUUCAGCGAGAAGUUCCACGUGCGUUCGCUAAGGAGCAACAAGGACGCGAUGAUGUCUGCCCUCUACCUUCAAGUGAGCAUCAUCAGCCAGGCCCUCAUCUUGGUCACCCGGUCGCGCCGCUGGUGCUUCCAGGAGCGCCCGGGGCUCUGGCUCUGCUUCGCCUUCGUCGUCGCGCAUAUCCUGCAACAAUACCGAAGGAGAACAGAACAAAUCAAUGAUAAAGAUGGCGUCGACACUCUUCAUGAAUGCCGUUCUUUUUAG
rnacentral:rRNA from 1 species